ACUCGUAAUGGUUAUCAUACAUUAGACACUUGACAUUUACAAGUCUCUCAAGAUACCAUUUAAUUUCUUCACCUUUAAAGUGGGGGAAAGAGUACUUUCUUCAAAUGUUCGUUUUGAAGAUUAAUGAAGAUCAUGCAUUAGAUGAGAAUAGCAAAGCUCUGGUGAGCUGUAGAUUCUGGGCUGGGGGUAAGGUUCACUCACUGUCUGAGUGAUUAGUGCUAUGUCUCUCCCCUACUCAAAACCCUUUAGUAGCUCCCUCUUGCCUCAAAGAUUGAAUUAGACAUAUGUUAUGGUGCCUGACCAGCUUUCCUAUCCCUCUUCCCUGCUACCAUUUCUAAAAUCUUUUCCCACCCCAUGUGAUUCUGAUGUGUCCACAUCCAAAGCCCCCACUCCUUCCCCUGU
rnacentral:lncRNA from 10 species